CGAAGAGUUGGAUACGACUGAGUGAUUUUCACUUUCACUUUCAUGCUAUAUAGUAGGACGUGUUGUUUAUUCAUCCUGCAUAUAAUAAGUUUGCAUCUGCUAAUCCCAAACUCUCAAUCCUCUCCCUCUUGGCAACCACAAGUUGAUUCUCUGUGUUGUGACCCUAUUGACUCUCAGUUCGCACAUUAGUGAAAUGGAAAAACUAAAUCCCAGACUCUUCACACAAGGCCAUCACAUGGAUCAAGUGACAUGAUAAAAAUCUAAGUUUGUGGAUUGACAGCUACUAAAAAACAAGAUUAGGCAAGAUGGCAUGGCACAGUCAAUGAAAAGAAAUGGACUUGGGAUCAGAAGGCCUAGCUUAAGUAACCUAAGUGACUGAAGUGACUUAGCACGUGUGCACAUAUCAUUUGACUUUCUGAGCCUCUAUUUUCUCAUCUCUAGAAUGAGAUUAUUUGUACCUGGCAUGCCUACUGGAACGAUAUUUCUCAUUAUGUAAAAAGAGAGGUACGUGCUGCUUAGUCAGUCGCAUCCGACUCUCUGCGACCCCAUGGACUCUAGCCCACCAGGUUCCUCUGUCCAUGGGAUUCUCCAGGCAAAUUCUUUACUGUUCGAGCCACCAAGUAGAGGGCAUUUAGCUGCCCCAGACGCAAGGGCUACAACGCUGAACAAGACAGCUUGGCUGCUGUGGUGGCGCCUACAGCCUCCUGGAGCAGACAAUGGAUUUAAAACUACUUUGUCAAUUAUAACCUGAUAUUAUUAUAAUUGCAAACAAACAAACCAUAUUUGGCUUUACAUACACAACUGGGUGAAGUACUAGUAGGAACUUCCCUGCUGGUCCAGUGGUGAAGACUCUGUGCUUCUGAUGCAAGUGGCAUGGGUUCCAUCCUUGAUUGGAGAAAAAAGAUUCUAAAUGCCGUGUGGCAUGGCUGAGAAAAUAUUAAAAAAAGAGAAAGUACUAGUAAAGUGAAAAUAUUGAAAUUCAUGCUGUAAGAAACACAAGGAUGAAAAUAGAAACUAGAGGAAAGGCUUGGUAAGCUGUCUGGUUUAACUGGCACACCACUCAGAUGGCUUUUCACAUGGAACAUGUUGCAUUUGGUAAGUGAAGUUUCUCCUCCCUGGAGAGCAGGAGGUACCUUCUCCAGUUAGUGCUGUGUGUGGCUAGUGAAAGCUAUGGGCCUUGCUAGGUGGAAGUCUGCCUUUGGCAUCCGUCUGUGAGCCAUGAGGGGUUGACAUUUGGCAGCCAUGUGCUGUGCUCAGCAAUGUACUUCAAAGCAGACACUUCCCACAAUUUUCAGGUUAGUGAGGACAUCACAGUCAAGGCCUGUCUGUUGCUUUGAAAAGCAUUGCUGUGUUUUGAAUGUGAUCUCUUUCACACAAAGCUUUUUUUCAGGUCACUAGAGGAACUGAUGCUCAGAAACUCUCUUCAACUCUUGGGGUUGUUUUGUGCUGGCUUUAGAAGUCAUCCGUCUGAUACUUUCCCGUAUAACAUGAAGGUCUCACAGCAGGAAGCUUCAAUGGCAAAUGCUCACAAAGAAAAGAGAAGGGAAAAAGGUCCCAUGAACCAGGGAACAGUUCCUCAACAAUUCCUCCUUUAACUGUAACGUGACCCAUAUCAUUUCACCAAGUGCAGACAGAGUUACAGAAUGAGAGUGUGGUAUAUUUUUCUGGCUAAAAUUAGUUUUGGUGUUUUUCUUUUUCAACCCAAAGCUUAUUUCUGUUCACCUUUCCACAAACUCUCUGAUCAAGUAAUGGAUCUAAGACCUAAUAAUCCUGGGCACAGUUUUCUUCAGGGAGACUCUCCUGUGAAGGCUCUUGGCUAUUUUCUGUGUCAGGCUUUUGUCUCCCGGCUUCUUACUCCAUCCUCAGCACCUGGAAUGAUCUGUAGCACGAAUUAGGCACAUAUUUGUUCAGUGAGUGAACACAGAUGUCCCCUUUGUCUAAAUGGAAGAUGUAGCUAAGGAGAACAAAGUUAUCAACUUUACCAAAAGUGAGCGAUUUGCAUUUCUGAGAACCCACAGACUUGGUGUGAUAACUAGUUCAUUAAGCCUCUGACCUUCCCAAGAAUACUUUCCAAGAUUAUUUCCUUGAAGACAAAAUUUGUAAACAAAUCAAUAUGUCACAGAAUCUUAUGUGAACUCAGAGAAGGCAGCAUGAGCUAUGUAUGGAGGAGAAGAUGUUUAAAUGUGAUGUGGAAGUGUGCCCAGUUAACCAGAGGAAGAUGGACACCAUCAGAGGAAGUGCCAUGAAUAGGAAGAACAGUACAACAACUACUAACUUAGUGUUUGAAACUCUUGGGCUUCCCCGGUGGCUCAGUGGUAAAUAAUCUGCCUGAAAUGCAGGAGAUGUGGUGACCUGGGUU